AUAACUAAAAAAAAAUUCAUUAACAAAAUCAUUGAUUAAAAAAAGUUAAAUUAGUUUAAACUCAUAAAGCAUAGGAUUUAUUGGGGAUGAUUGUAGUUUAGGAUGAGAUCAUAUGUACCAAGUGGGUGUGGAAAUGAAAUUGGUUCAUGAGGAACCACUCCCUCUUUGGUGGAGCUCAUUUUCAAUUUUGAAACUUGAGUGAAGAUAUCUGUAAUUAUAAAAAUCCUCAGGAGAGCUCAUUGGAAUUUGCCCAAAGUAGAUUUUUUAAGGACAUCAUGGUUCCACCCGUUCAUUCAGUCCAUCUACACUCUCUCUAUCUCUACCACUCAAUCUUGAGUUUGCCAUUUCCUGUGGUCUGCCUCUUAUCUUUAUCUUCUACACGCUUUAAUUUAUUCAGAUGCCACCAAUAUGCUUAAAGAUUGGAUGAUAUCAAUUAAUCAAUCAUGGAGUUAAUUCUUGAAAGCAUUAAAGUAAGAGUUCAAAGUUGAAAAACGAGUGUGCCUAAUUUAUUCAGGUAUAGGUAGAGAGCGUUCUCUUCUCAAAUUUGAGUUGCAUCAACUAAUCAAAUAGACAUUGUGGCAUUGAGGAUAUCAGAAUACAUCCACUAGUUCUAGUGCCUCUUCAACUUGCCACAAGGGUAAGCAAACUCUAUUUUGGUUGGCCCGGGACAAAUUAGAAUUCUGGUCCCGCCCUUGCCUCCAAAGCUUGUUAUGAGUUCGCCUCCAAAGCUUGUUAAUUUAUUUGUCAAAGGGUAAAGACCAACAAAAAAUUGUUCAAAACUUCGCCGAUUAGCAAAAAAUUGUUUCAAAAUCCUUUUCUUCUAAGAAAAUUUGAGGGUCAUGUUCAGGUCUUUUGUGAACCCACCCUUUCUAAUAGAGACGGAGCUAUGAUUUACAUAUAGGGGGGCAAAACUUAGAACCUAAAAAUAGUCAUAUUCACGGCUGUUGGAUUUUGAAGUCUUCCUUGCAUACAGUUUGAAGUUCAUGCAUGAAACCUGAGGAAUAUUAUUGUACAAGAGAAAA